rnacentral:rRNA from 1 species
GGGGGGCGUCCCGGGGCUUCCUUCACGGGGGCCCCGGUCGGCGCCCUCCGGGGCCGAUCCUCGACAGACCGUCGCCGCCGGUGUCUCUUCCCACACCAAAGCGGGGCCAAUACGGGAGCGCGCGCGGGGUGAGACCCUUUCCCCCGUCGUCCGACUCCCGGCCCCGUGGGUACCCGGCGAGCGCGGCAGUCCGGCGGUCCCUCCCCUCUCGGGGGGAGGAGGCCUCCGCCUGUACGCAGGGGGGCGCAGGCCCGGGACUUGCCAUUAGACGCCGUCGCGCAAAUCUGUUGUUGGCCUCGCCGGCUCUGCUUGGGCUCUCGGUUGGCGGGCCGCGCGUCAGGCGGGCUUUAGGGCGGGGGCAUCCCCGUCCGGGUCCGUCCCGCGCGGUUUUGCCUUCCGAUCCUGCUCUGUCCGGAGUGGCCUAGCGCGCGUGCUGUCGGCAAGUACCAUGAGCAGACAUGUUGGGACCCGAAAGAUGGUGAACUAUGCCUGGCCAGGAUGAAGCCAGAGGAAACUCUGGUGGAGGUCCGCAGCAAUUCUGACGUGCAAAU